rnacentral:rRNA from 1 species
GACGAACGCUGGCGGCGUGCUUAACACAUGCAAGUCGAGCGGAGCGGCGAACGGGUGAGUAACGCGUGAGUAACUGCCCCUCUCUCUGGGAUAACAGUUGGAAAAGGCUGCUAAUACCGGAUAGUGGGGGAUGACUCGAGUCCUAUCAGCUUGUUGGUGGGGUAGUGGCCUACCAAGGCGACGACGUGUAGCCGGCAUGAGAGGGAGACCGGGCACAUAGGUCUGAAAUACGGCCCAAACUCCUACGGGAGGCAGCAGUGUGGAAUAUUUAACAAUGGGGGAAACCCUGAUGCAGCAACGCCGCGUGCGGGAUGUCGGCCUUCAGGUUGUAAACCGCUUUCAGCCAUGACGCGGUAUUGGCAGAAGAAGCACCGGCUAACUACGUGCCAGCAGCCGCGGUAAUAC